rnacentral:rRNA from 1 species
UACGGAGGGUGCAAGCGUUAAUCGGAAUUACUGGGCGUAAAGGGUGCGUAGGUGGUUAGAUAAGUUAGCUGUGAAAUCCCUGGGCUUAACCUGGGCAUGUCAUCUAAGACUGUUUGACUGGAGUAUGGGAGAGGGUAGUGGAAUUUCCGGUGUAGCAGUGAAAUGCGUAGAGAUCGGAAGGAACACCAGUGGCGAAGGCGGCUACCUGGCCUAAUACUGACACUGAGGCACGAAAGCGUGGGGAGCAAACAGG